UACGUAGGGUGCGAGCGUUGUCCGGAAUUACUGGGCGUAAAGAGCUCGUAGGUGGUUUGUCGCGUUGUCCGUGAAAACUCACAACUCAAUUGUGGGCGUGCGGGCGAUACGGGCAGACUGGAGUACUGCAGGGGAGACUGGAAUUCCCGGUGUAGUGGUGGAAUGCGUAGAUAUCGGGAGGAACACCAGUGGCGAAGGCGGUUGCCUGGGGCUUUGCUGACGCUGAUGCGCGAAAGCGUGGGGAGCGAUCCGG
rnacentral:rRNA from 1 species